rnacentral:rRNA from 1 species
GACAGAGGGUGCGAACGUUGUUCGGAAUUACUGGGCGUAAAGCGCGUGUAGGCUGUUCGGAAAGUCGGGUGUGAAAGCCCUGGGCUCAACCUAGGAAGUGCACUCGAAACUCCCGAACUGGAGUCCCGGAGAGGAAGGCGGAAUUCUCGGUGUAGAGGUGAAAUCCGUAGAUCUACGAAGGAACGCCAAAAGCGAAGGCAGCUCUCUGGGUCCCUACCGACGCUGGGGUGCGAAAGCAUGGGGAGCGAACAGG